UAGACGUUCGGGUGCCAGACCUUUGUCAUGAAUCGAAUGCUUGGCGGGCUGUAUGGAUAAUCUAAUGGGAACUUCAUGUGCGCCUGAAACAGAAGAUCGAAACGAGAUUAGUGCUGGUGGAGACGAGAGACCGAUGGUUUAUGUUUGAGCUCUUGAAAAUUGGGACCAAGCAUCAAGACUUGGUAUAUUCGAUGUUUGGAUAUGGCGGGACUUCAAACGAACGAGAAAAGAGAAAAAUGGAGAGAAGAAGAGCUCCGUUGCUAUAUUGGGAUCAACUGACACGCCAUUCCCAACAUCUGAAACUGGUCCAUAAUUUCGCAGAAAACUUACGUACAAUUAAUUUACGUUUAACGAAUGAAUGGAACAACGAUAGAAACUAUGUGUUAAAGUGAAGUUAGAAUUUGCAAAUUAUUUUGCGAAUGCAACAUCAUAAAGGUAACAAGGAACGUAUUUUUUAUUAUAAAAACAGAAUUAGGCACUCGAUGAAAAAGUUAGUUCGCAAUUGAAGAGUAUAUGUGCAAAAUUAAAACGAAUUUUGUCAGGUAAAAGUGGAACGAAAUUUGGCAUAGCGAA